GACGAACGCUGGCGGCGUGCCUAAUACAUGCAAGUAGAACGCACAGUUUAUACCGUAGCUUGCUCCACCAUAGACUGUGAGUUGCGAACGGGUGAGUAACGCGUAGGUAACCUGCCUGGUAGCGGGGGAUAACUAUUGGAAACGAUAGCUAAUACCGCAUAAUAUUGAUUAUUGCAUGAUAAUUAAUUGAAAGGUGCAAUUGCACCACUACCAGAUGGACCUGCGUUGUAUUAGCUAGUAGGUGAGGUAACGGCUCACCUAGGCGACGAUACAUAGCCGACCUGAGAGGGUGAUCGGCACACUGGGACGGAGACACGGCCCAGACUCCUACGGGAGGGAGCAGUAGGGAAUCUUCGGCAAUGGACGAAAGUCUGACCGAGCAACGCCGCGUGAGUGAAGAAGGUUGUCGGAUCGUAAAGCUCGGUUGUAAGAGAAGAACGGGUGUGAGAGUGGAAAGUUCACACUGUGACGGUAUCUUACCAGAAAGGGACGGCUAACUACGUG
rnacentral:rRNA from 1 species